rnacentral:rRNA from 1 species
CCUACGGGUGGCAGCAGUGGGGAAUAUUGGACAAUGGGCGAAAGCCUGAUCCAGCCAUGCCGCGUGUGUGAAGAAGGCCUUCGGGUUGUAAAGCACUUUCAGUGGGGAAGAAAGCCUUGGGGCUAAUACCCUCGAGGAAGGACAUCACCCACAGAAGAAGCACCGGCUAACUCCGUGCCAGCAGCCGCGGUAAUACGGAGGGUGCGAGCGUUAAUCGGAAUUACUGGGCGUAAAGCGCGCGUAGGCGGUCUGAUAAGCCGGUUGUGAAAGCCCCGGGCUCAACCUGGGAACGGCAUCCGGAACUGUCAGGCUAGAGUGCAGGAGAGGAAGGUAGAAUUCGCGGUGUAGCGGUGAAAUGCGUAGAGAUCGGGAGGAAUACCAGUGGCGAAGGCGGCCUUCUGGACUGACACUGACGCUGAGGUGCGAAAGCGUGGGUAGCAAACAGGAUUAGAUACCCGGGUAGUC